rnacentral:rRNA from 1 species
GACGUAGGGCGCGAGCGUUGUCCGGAUUUAUUGGGCGUAAAGAGCUCGUAGGCGGCUUGUCGCGUCGACCGUGAAAACUUGGGGCUCAACCCCAAGCCUGCGGUCGAUACGGGCAGGCUCGAGUUCGGUAGGGGAGACUGGAAUUCCUGGUGUAGCGGUGAAAAUGCGCAGAUAUCAGGAGGAACACCGGUGGCGAAGGCGGGGUCUCUGGGCCGAUAUUGACGCUGAGGAGCGAAAAGCGUGGGGGAGCGAACAGG